rnacentral:lncRNA from 1 species
CCUACUUUCGAGUUUGAAUUUCGAAUGAAGUACAGAAAGAUUGUCACAGCCGAAGUUGCUCCCUCGAUGUCCGCACGCAAUCGUCCUCAGAUAUUUUGGCAUUUAAUGCACGUGCGCUGGGAUCUUUUCAAAUCGAGGCAAUCCGAAGAGGCUCUUUUGGAACCUGCAGCGGAACGAUGCUCAAGGCGUGGCGCAAUAAAGGCACUGUCAACUGUCUGUCACUUUUUAACCGCCCGCUGUGGUGAGUGGGACACGCGGCGAAAAGAGACCGGCUAGAGGGGAUUCGCAAUCGUCAUUAUGCCGGAUCUCAGGGCCUAUUUAAACCCGCACUCCUCCAAGAGUCCCGCUCUAUCCGACGGUCUCAUUCUGACGUCCUUCUUCUUCCUGAGAACUUCGAUUUUUCUCAGCGCCCUUUCCAGCCUUAGGCGUUCCUCGAGCCGUCCCCAUUUUCGCACCUUCGUACUUCUCCGAAUC